UAUAAUCUAGUCGGCUUUACCAAAAUCUUCCAAUCCAACCUGUUAAGGAAAACAAACUAAUAGGAUGAGCCAAUACUCAGUGAAGCCAAAAAAACACACAUGCAAACACAUAAUCCAAGUAGCGACAACAAUUACAUUGUAGGUAAGGCUAUCAAAUUCGAAUAAUUCACAUUUCGAAUAGGAAAAAUAAACAGAAACAAUUCAAGGAUACUGUAGCUCUCAGGAGCUAAAUUCCACGUAGUCGAGUCGAAGUUUUGAUCACAUCUCACGUUGACACUCCGUCAACCACAUAAGUAUCAAAUCCGUAGAUACACCAUUUUUCUUCGAAUCCCGUCACCGUUACACCCCCUUACCGGGCCCGCUCAUCAAAGUUUUUAAUAAUACUCGAGUAUAUCAUGGCAAUACUGCAUGAGUAAUACCGAGCAAGAUCUCUCCAAUAGAUCAUGCUCUACGAAUAUCUCAUGGUUUGCUAAGCUUAUCGACCAAGCCCAUGCUGGCUCGAUUCGCAAAGUUAGCCAACGAGUUUUGGGCGUCCCCCGAAUAUGAAUACGAAUACGAAUAUAAGUCGAUGAGCAACGCUCAAAUCGACGAUUCCAAAUAGGAAUCACAAAUACGGAUCACAUAUACGAAUCACAAGUACAAAUCACAUCCACAUUACCAUGUACAAGUUGGAUACGAAUUCACAUAGCAAAAUUCGAAUAUAAUUUCAUUUGAAAGAGAACGAGUGUGACAAAGUACACCCUCGUCUCAAAAUUUCAAAUUUACAUAACGGAUAAGAAACAGAUAACCACUUAACAACAAGUUCAUGCACUUGACACUCACAGUGAUUCAAGUAGCGAGUUCAAAUGAUGGUUUAGACGUCUCCCGUGAGAUCCUCUGGAAGGUCCUCUUGAGCGCCUGAUCAUUUAAUAGUGAAUUAUCAUUCACACGUCCCAAUUAUCAAGGAAGAUUGUGCACUAGUACAAUCUGGGGAAAUUUCAUGAAAAUGAACCUCAAUUACUAGUAAAUCGAGGUUCAAGUGGAGUUUCUUAAUGUACAAGAGUAAUCGAGUUUUGUUAUCUUGGAAAUCAAGCAUAAACGUUCAAGUAUUAUCGAAGGAAUAAGGAAUACUUGAAAAACUCCAUUUCCUUGAAAUUCAGAAAAUUUCAGUUUUGAUACGAUAUUUUGAAAAAAAUCGUAUCUCAGAUUUCACAUGUCAAAAAUUGGAAAACUUGGUACCGUUGGAAACCUCUUCCAAAGUACUAAAGGUUCUUAGAAGACACUUUUUCAUGUAUCUAAGUGGAAGGUGUUCAAAAAUGAGCUUAAAGUUGCUGUUCCAAAUCACCCAGGAUUGAGCCGGGGUUGGUUUUUCGCUAACUUUGAAAAUUCAGCAGAAUUCACUCGUUGCAAACCGGCCCUUGAAAUUUUUAGCUCAAUUAGAGGUGCAAGUAGGGUUUAGGACAGAACAAGCGGAUCGAGAAUCGGAGUUUCGACCACCAAGAUAUGGUAGCUCAAAGUUGGGUAAAUUUCAAGACUGUUAACAAAUUUCCAGAUUUGGUUCCGACUUUGGACCUUUAGUUAAGUGUCGAAACGGACUUGAAUUGAUACCAAAUUUUUCAGUAUAAUACUCCUAUAUGAAGGGUAUCUCUUUAUCAAAUUUCGUGGAAAAAUACCUUCGGAAAGGUGGUUAACCAAUCAACCAAAGUUUGGAAAAAUCUUAAGGCAAUCUGUCCAAAUCCAAGGCUUUCAAAAACAAAACAGUCACCGUAUUUUGAUCAUAACUCACUCAAUUUAACUCGGAUUUGAGCAUGGUUGAUAGUGUUAGAAAAUACAUUCAUAGGGCUGUGAUUUCACAGAAGAAAUCGUUUUAAGUUUCAGUAUGCAACUAGCUCGAAAUUAAGCCUAAAGUUGCAGCAUCAUCAAAUCAUUUCGGCAGAACGGAGAAACAGGACAGCCGACUUCAGAUGAAUGGUGUGGCUCACACAUAUGAAACCAGAAUGUGUAUUAUAUACCGUUGGAAACAUGGGAACGUCUAGUUUCAAAUUCCGCUAACGGCACUUGAUUUUGACGUCGGAGUACGGAGUUAUGGACUAAAUACAAACACUGGUCUGGGUUACGACGAAAUCGUUUUCCAGAUUACUAGUUUUUGAAAUAAAUUCGUUUGACCCACCAAAACUCAGUAUUUUUCAAUGAAAAUUUUUACACAACUACUACAACAUAUAAACAACACAAUCAAGCCAAUAAAUCCUCAAAUUUCUGCAUUAAAGUGACCGAACAGAACAGGGGUAAAAUGGGAACUUUUUGCUUCAAGAGUUCAACAACGUUUCUGGCCACAAUACACCUUUAAUCUACUUCCUUAAGCUCUAAUUCAGCAAUAAAACCAUCAUCAAACAUCAUCACAGCCAUCAACCCAAAGUGGGAGUUCAUAGAGCCCACAUUUCCAACAAUACCAGCUACUAAAGUGAAGAUUCCAACUCAAAUGCAUAGAUCAACUUCCAUAAGACAAGUUUAAGGUGCUUGAUUACUACCUACUUUGAUGGCUGGUUUGGACAGAUUUUUCGGCCCUUUGAAGCUUGAAGAAACCGUGGAUAGCUCCUUCCUUUUUAGCUAAGUUGUUGUCCAAGUGAAAAGCUAAAUGAAUGUGAAGUUUGGUGAGAAUCUAUGGAAGUUUUGGUAAGGAUUUGGAUGAGUUUUGGAAGAAAGAAAUGGUGAAGCUUCGGUUGUCCCUUGCAGCUGCUAGCCGUCCGUUGCAGCAGAAGAAAUGAAAUGAAAUGAAAUGCGGUUCUGAAGCCUUUGCGUACGAAAGACGCUUGACGUCAAAUUUUUAAUACGUCAAAUCAAUUAUAACUAGUACCCUACGCGCGCGUUUUGUGUUCGAUUUCUCUUACGUUUGUUGCACUAGUGCACUAAACCUCUAGGGCACUUACAUUCAUAUAAAUAUUAUUCAUUCUUAAUUAUCCCAAAAUAAUGGUCCAAAGUCCCUCAAUUAAGCGCGCACGUGAAAACACGUAUUUCUAAUUUAGGCGCAAUAAAAUUGAAACCUUUGAGAAAUUCUUAUAACGAUCGUACCACUAACUAUCACUUCAAUAUUUAAACCUAAAAUUGCCUAUUUUAGGACCAUUGUAUAUGUCUUAAAUUUUUUGAGCUUAUUGUACUCCUAAUUGGCUAAAGUUUUCAGACACGUUUUCACUUUUUCACUAAACAAGCUUCUAAGAAAAUAAUUUUUUGAAACGAGACACUUUAAAAAUAUAACGAAGCUAUAAAACCAUAUAUUUAGGUCUAAUAAGGAUAGAAAAUAAUAUUCGGGCAAAAAUCCAAAUAGAUAAUUAAUUGAGCCAAAAUUAGGGGUUUAAAAAUAAUAAUUUUACGAGUCCUCACGUGAAUUGAGUAUUAAUUCCUCAAUUAUCCUUUCUUAAUCUAUUAUUGAUCGUUCUUAAUUCUCCAAUAUUAAUACACUCUCGAUUCAAAUAUAGUCUCGAAAAACGUGCACUCGUUGUUCCUAACUAAACGAGUUUUCGAAAAGUGAAUUUUUCCAACAAAACGCUUUUAAAAAUAUAAAAGAGGCGUCGUUCCAUAUAAAUGGAUUUUAAAUGAUCGAAAUAAAUAAUUUGGAGAAAAAUGAGUAAACAAAUAUUUAAACAACCUAUUAAUAUUCGAUAAAAUAAAAUAAAAAAAUUUCGGGUCCUCACAUCUGAAAUCCCAUUAAAGUAUUUGGAGGUAGAAUUUUUUUUUGAGGCCCAAACCAUUGCCACCAAUAAUUGAAUCAAAUUGGAAAUUCUCUACUGCAACUUUCUUUGAAUGUGAAGAACCAUGAAUGGUUGAAUGGUCUAUAUAAAAAAGCACGAUACCAUGCCAUUUUGUAAUAUUGAUAAGUAAAUCCAUCUGGAAUGAAUCUGACUGAAACGGAUUUCUUUGAAUAAAGAGAAGUCCAUUCAUUAGGAGAACAAACUUUCUUUAUGAUACAUUUUGAAUGACUAACAAUUUCUGGAUUCUUUUGAUCUGAAAUAGGGAAAAUUUUCACAGAUUGAGUAUCUGUAAGGAUUAAUUCAUAAUAAUCCAGAUUUUUAGACGGGUCAUCUGGUUGCCAGAAGCAUUUUGAGGGAAAGAUUCUUUGAGUAAAGGAAUUGAGAGUGUUAUAAAGAGCAACUUCUUGGAAUCUAGUCAAAGUAAUCUCUCCACAACCUUCAAACCUUUGUAAGUUGAUCAAGCUAGAAGAAAGCUCUAGUCUUGUGGUGAUUUUUUGGUGGAUUGGUGGUGCAAAACUUGGGCUCUAACUAGGGUUGAAGAAUCUUUGGAGAGGUAACAAGCUUCACUUCACUUGACCUUUAGUUUUAUUCAAGUUUUAGUAGUAGCUUUGAGUUGUUAUGAAGGGGUAUGACACCCUAAACAAAACUAGGUUAGAUGACUUCAGAAUACUCUUGUUUUCUUAAUUUACUCUUAGGUAGAUGUCUUGAGGUGGCUUCUUAGGUAGUGGCCUUGAGAAAUUAUUGUUUGUUUAGUUGUUGUUUUAGUGAAUGGCAAUUUGGUUUUGAUUGUGAAAGUUGAAAAGAAAAGUUGAAGAGAAAGAGAGUAGAUGCUGUUCGAAAUUUUGCUGAUUUUUUUUUUCUCUUGAUUUAAUUUCGAAUUUGUUGUUAAAUUGCUGCAAAAAUGCUUGUUAUAUGUUGGAUUGUGUGUACAAAAAUUAUCUCUCAAAAAUCAUUUCAUUUAAGUGGUUGAAAGUUAGGCUAAAGAGAGAAAAAUCAAAUCUGGAAAAUUGUACAGUCUGCCUAUCCGCACUCAACAGCAUAUAAAUUUUCGUCCAAGAGUCGAAAUCAAGUGCUGUUUGUGGCAUUUGAAAGUAGACUCCAAGGGCUUUCUAACGAUAUAAAGUUGAUGCUAAUUCAUUUCCUGUGAGCCAUGGCAAACCGGCAAAGUUGAUUGAUUUGCUCUUACUGUUUUACCCGAGAGACCUGCACAGCUGCAUCUUGUAGCUUAUUUUCACUCCUCUUGUGAAAUGAAUUUGAAAAUGGUUUCUUCGAAUGAGUUUUAGUACUUCAAAUGUAGUUUUCAAUGCCAUAAACCACACAAAAUUUGGACUUGUGUAGCCCUAGUUAUGCCCUGAUUUCAAAACUAUGUUGAUGCUCCAAGGCUGGAAAUCCGUGGAUCAGGUUUUAAAAACCAGUUUUCAUAAAAUUGUUGUAACUUGGUGUAGGGAAAUCCAAAUUUCAUUCUGGUUAUUAUGUUUAAAACUAGACUUGAAGUUAUUUAAGUGUUAUAAAUUUUAGAGGCUAAUUCGAUUCCUAUAAAUUUUGCUAAAUUUUCAAAUUUCACUGAAAUUCGAGACUUUUUUGCCCUAUUUUAAUGAAGCAGCAAGUUGGAACUGAGAUUUGAAUGAUUUCUGAUUUGAAUCUGGAAAAAGUGUCUUCUAAAGAGUUUUAGUACAUUGAAUCUAGUUUCCAACGGUAUAAGGUUUCCAAUUUUUGGACUUACAGAACUCAAGAUGUGAUUUUUCAAGUAUUGUCACACAAAGUUGGAAUUUUCUGGUUUCAAACAAAAUGCCUUUCUUAAGAAUUUCCAACUUUCCUUUGAGCUUGUUAGUCCAUUUUAAGUUUGAUUUCAUGGAUAGAUACAAGGUUUCUUGUACCUUUAGACCUUCAUUUUGAAUCUUGGUUUCCAAAGGAUUAAGUCUCUCUUGAUGCAUUUUCUUGGUUGCCUAAACAAAUGAGUUUUCUCCCUUGUAUGCUAUGUGACUUAGGGUACGUGAGUGAUGGUUUAAGGGGGAAAUUGACCUAGAGGUGAUUUGCAUUUAGUGAUGGUUGAUUGAUAUUUUUUCAGGUGUUCAAGAGGAUUUCGAAAGGAAUUCCGGUGCGGACAACUAAAGGACUUACUUGUUCGUUUGUUUUUGAAUUUGCUAAGUGUCAAGUGCAUGCUUCAUAUUACUAUGAUUGAAGUGAUAAUUGUAUAAGUGCUAUGUGAAUCAUGAACUUGCCGAGACUAGAAUAUACUUUAUUGCCCUUGUUCUCUCUCUCUCUUGAUUGAAUGAUAUAUGUUACAUGAAUGUUUGUGACUUGCACUUGUACUUGAACCUGUUUUAACUCGUGAGCACUGAGUGGUAGCAUAUGCCACAUUCUAUUCGGGUGGGAGGUGCCUCUCAUACUGAUUCAGUGCUAUGAUUGAUUCUCUGAGUGGUAGCAUGUACCACACCUUAUUCGGGUGGGAGGUACCUCUUAUACUGACUCAGUACUAUGACUGAUUUUAAGUUGAUUGGAGCGUUGUCUCAUCGACAACUCGGGCUUGUGGGGACGUCCAAACCCCUCUGGCUAACCUUGUAACUCGAGUCGGCAAGCGUUUGAUCGAAAAACUUGGUGAACCUUAGGAAAUAUUAUUAUUUGAUCUUUUGAGAUCUUGCUUGACAUAUUCGAAUAGUAUUUCCAUCUAAUGCGUAUUUGGUUUCGGAUCCGAGUGCGUACUAUGUUGGAUAGAGGAAGUAAGUGGAGCGCUACGGUCAUGUUGCUUCUUAAGUUGACGGAAAGUCAACCCCAAAUAGCUUGAAUCGGUCCAGACGUGGAAAUAGCUCCUCAGAGUUCCUAUAUCCUUUUAUGUGUGUUUAUUUCCUAUUUGUGCACUUAAAUGAAAAUUCAUGUUAAAAUUGUUUUCAAGUAUGCUAUUUGAUUAAUUAGUGCUACUUGCUCACUUGUUUAAUUUUUUUUGGCCUCACUGAGCAUUAGUUCAUCCCUUUAAAUUUGUUUUUCUUAACAGGAUUUGGAGGUGAAAGUUUGAAAUUCUAGACUAGCGGCUUUUGGUGGAAGCUAGUAUAUCUUUUGUAUGAAAUUGGAGACUCUUAAAGUAUAAAUUUUGUUAUACUUGGAUAUUGUGGAUUGUAAUUAUAAAUGGUCACUUUGGAAGUUUUUGGACUUGUAUAUUCGAAACAUUUCUCAAUUAUAAGUCGAUAGUUGACUUGUGAUUCUUUAUUAAGUUAAAACGAAUCGUGAGUCCUGACGAGAGUUGGGCAGGCACCCCGCUGAUACCCUAGGAUUCGUCUUAGGAAGAAAUGGGGCGUCAUAACAAUAAUGUAUGCUUAUUAUUAGAUAUUGCAAUUUUUUCUAUCACUACUCUUUUUAAUGAUUCAUAUUAUAUUCCAAUACUAUCCGGUGAAAAUUACAUCAAAUAGAUGGACAAGGUUCUUUUGACUUCUCCCAUCUUCUUCUUAGGUGUACCCUUGAAGUUAGCGAAUCGUCUGUCUGGCUUUCGUCAGGACUCACUCGCUCAUAUUAAUUUCAGAUAUAACAUUUGAUAAACCUUCUUUAAUCUUGCCUAUCUUACAUUAACUUCAGAAAUAACAUUACCAUUGAACAACUGAACAUUCAUUCUUCAAUCCAACUCCUGUAAGAAAAACAAAGCUAAAUGGUUGAGCUAAUGCUCAAUCAAGUUUCCAUGCAAGCAACAAUCAAUAAACACUUAAACCAGAUAAGCCAGUAACAAAAUUAAGCAACUAAGGAACACUUCACUGAAUAAAGUGGAGAAUACUUCACUGAACAAUCAAUUUUAAAAGGAUAUGGUGCUCGCAUUAGAAUCACUUCAAUGCACUACCCACUCCGCCAAACUCCUCCUUAUAACUUCCAAAACAGUAAACACUUCCCUCACUUAGAUGGCCAUAACAAUAUCAGUAAUUUGCUACUCCGGGGAAUACUCGAGCAUACCGAAACACUUACCCAAAGUUACGGUCCUACCCGACCAAGCCCUUUUGCCGGCUCGAAUAGUCCGUUGAACAGAGGGUUUUGGGGCCCAGUCCAGCCGCUGUGGUAAAAUACACACACGGCUUACAGUCAUGCACACUUACAAUAACACUUGAUCAAUUAUCAACCUUCAAGCUCAAACUAAGUCGAAUGCAAUAAAGUAUACUCCCGACUUAGAAGACGAGGGACAAUUGAGAUACACUUUAUAAUGAAUCACUAACAAUAUUCCAUAAUAAGCACAUUUAUCAUAUAAUUUCACUUAACUAAACACAAACAGUUUAAAACACAAAUUCGGAAACACUCACCAAAUUUCAAAUAAAUUACUCUCGAGCCUUGAGUUUGCUUUCUGGUUCACAGCUACCCCCUGAGAUAAAUUUAUAACUCUAAAAUGAAGAUACAAUUUGUAGAUAAUCACUUAUCAUUUGUUACCUUAUAAUUUAAACUUAUUAAAGUCAAGUUUUGGCUUUAAAAUACAAGAUAUAAUAUAUCUAACCUUUUCUUAAAUUUUAUCUCGAAACUUAUCAACUUUAUUAUUUUAAACAAAGAAAUAUACAUAUUUUUCAAGUUUAUAAUUUAUAAAAUAUUUAAAUUAGGAUUAAACCAUUUUCCAUCCAAGAUUCUAAUAUUAAAGCUUAGGAACACUCCAUUGGUUCCAUUUUAACUAAUUAACUUUAAGCCAUUUGUAACUUAGAUUUUAUUUCUCUACACUAGUCCUUCAAGUCUUAAAAUCUUUAAAAUGAUGGUGAGGACAAGAUUAGUUGAUUUGAAGCCAUGUUAUGUAUAUAACUAUAACCAGUUACUUUAGGGUUUCCAAAAAUGUCAUAGAAAGGUUUGCUAGCUACCGUUUUAGUCAAUAUCUAAGUUUCAGCAAUAUACUUCCUAAAUUCUGUUAAUAUUUCAUCUUUUACUUAGCUAAAUCAUUAAAUACUUGAUAUUCAUUCUGUGCCUGCCUAAACUAGAUCAAACAACAUGUACCCUCAACACAUAAUUCCAGCAAAAACAACAAUAAAUUCAGUCCUCAGCUAAAUGCAAAUUCCCAGUAGCUAGGCAGUCAAUUACAAGACUGUUUCCCCCCAUCUUCUUUACUUUCCUCCUCCUAACUCGACAUGCUGGGAGUAAUUAUCCAACUACAGAGCAUCGUAAGCAAGAAUAUAUGUUGACAGCCAAAAAUGAAAGAACAAAGCUGAACCGAGUCUUAAACUCCCUCUCGGCUAGAGUGAAAAGAAACUCUUGCAGCAGAUUGAGCUCAUUCUUCCUUCAAUGUUCACUUUAGUUUCAAUUCAUUUCUAUCUUACUUGUUGAAGUUAAGAGACUUAUGACAUGCUACAGUUCUAUACGUUUGUCUAGAGAUUAAAAUUUGCGAAGGAUAACCAGAGUUUCCUCUCUUCUCUUUCGGUUGCGGUCACUAAAUUUCCAGCAAAACAAUAGUUCAUCAUUUGACAUUUUCUCACCUUUUCUUUCUCAGGUUUUGGUCUCAAUCACUCAUGCAGAGGAUACUUAAUUUGUUGCAGGUUAUCCUAAGCUAGACAGGGUAGUUCUUGACCAAAAUUUCUGAGGAAAACUGAAUAAAAUUACAAGUCUGCACAAGCCUGCUACAUCUAGUGCAUAGCAGACUGCACCAGGUUACUUUCAUGCCCACAGUUCCAAUUCUUACAACUCCUACGGUUAAUCCUUCUUUUAUUACUUAAAGUGGACAUAAUCAUGCUUUCCUAGCUGUAGUUUCCAUUUUCUAAUAACUAGCCACAUAAUUAGCACUUAUCUCUGGGUUAGAAGUCAGAACUUCCUCUUAGCGGACAGUUGAUUCUAAACAAAAUUUCUCCGGCAACAGCACUUAGUUUUUCUUGGCUAGAUUCCAGCACCCACAACAUGCAAAUUCAAAUAUACCAGAUGAUUAAGAGGUUAUAUACAAAUUUCCAUCAUUCAUGGAUUAAAAUCCAAGCAACAGUUUUCAGUUUCUUCCAAAUCUGUCCAACAGCUUGAUUUCCUUCAAACAAGAUUUCACCUUGUCUAAGAGUCCAUUUCUUUACUAAGUUCUCGUGCAACUAAUGUGAUUUUUCAGUUACACCGAAUAAAUAGAAAAUAGGUGCAGGUUCUUACCCUUUUCUCCUAAGAAUUCGAUGUUGCAGGCUGCUAAAAUUUCUGAUUCUGGUUCCUCACUCUUAGCUCUAGUUUCCUUUACCUUCUGACAGUAUUCUCUCGUCUUUGUUUGGCUGGUGAUACAGCUUGCUAAUCCUUUUUUCCUCACACUCAAUUUUUCACCCUCGAUCCUGUUUUUGUAAGAUGCAAGAAAGAAAGAAAGAAAAGAAGUCUGUCUUCUUCACUCCUUUGAUCACCGCCCAAAUAAUGAGCCUACUGUCUAGUUACUUCCUCUUGGUUGUUUUGUAGAGUUUUAAUGUAAGAAAGACAACAAUGCUACCUAAAUCCUCUUGCUUUCGGUUACUCCAGCCUC
rnacentral:lncRNA from 1 species